GGAAAUGAAUGGGGAAGCGUUUGUGUGUGUGGCAGGCGGCUGGGAAUCGGCGACGGGCUGCAGGCGGCCUCACUGCCCCCCUGUGGCCAACGAAGGUAGCCGCAAACACAUAUAACCCUUGCUAUGAUUUACUUUUAUUAAUGAAGUGGCCGUCACAUAUCAAACUUAGAAUUUGGGGCUUUUUAAUACUCUGACAUGUAAUACAAAGUAUAGGUUACACAAGUUUUAAAAGCGACAAAUUUGUAGUGGGCCUGGUUCCGUUGGAACUUCAAUUCUCUAGUAUUUAAUUUUAUAGGAGACUAUUAACCGACCCAGAAGAACAAACAGUCAGUCACUUCUGAAGGUCCAGAACAGUAUGUUGCAGACACCUGUCCUGAAAUCCAGACCCCGCUCACUGGUUAAAAACUUACAUAAUAGUUUUAAUAUGUGCUUGACUGCCUUCUGGCAGUAAAAAACACAGUUCUGGCCGGAGUCUGUACAGGGCUUGAUAGCAAAAGUCAUGAAAAGUUACUUCAUUAAAAGCAGGUGUGUCAGCUUCUUGGAUUACACGGUUUCUAUGGAAACUCGCUCUGUGUUUGUUCAGAGUAAUUUACGCAAAAUAGUAUUUCCCCGGUAGGUCCCAGCUGGGAAUAGUGUUUCCCUUUCAUUUGAACGCUAACUUUCUGAGAUUCAUCGCAUUUUUUGGGUUGAGAUUUUUUUAUUAUUAAAAAAGAAUCUGUGAAGAAAGAGUCCAUCGCAAAAAGGAUAAUGCAAAAAAAGGCGUUAAAACAUGGGACUCCAGAGAGUCCAAUGGAAACGUUUUAAAAAUAUGAGUAUGAUACGGACAAUUAAAAUGUCUGAAAUCCUUGUCGAGUUUAAGGCUGAACAUGUCCCGCUGGCAAAACUUACAUUACAGCAACUGACAUUGCGAUUCUAGCCCUGCUUCCACACCAGCGGUAUUCAGAUGUAAAACAGCGCUGGAUUGUAACAUGAUGAACAUUAUAUUAACACACAUUUUUGAGCCUUCCUGCAGUGAUUGGUUUGUGCCAGUGAGGGAGUGUCCAGUCCAGCGGUGAUAAAGUGACGGUGUGGUGUACAUCGUGACGGGAGGCUGUCCUGAUCCCCGGGGGCUCGGUGCGUGGAGAGCGACACGAUUGGCCAAGGCGGCUGCGGCCAUGACGACAGGAGCAAUGCCGCUUAUGGGCUGUUAAUGACCCCAUGGAAAAUAGCCCCACGUUCAGUCAUGUCUCUCUCUCCUUAUCUCCGUCUUGUAUAUGUGCGAGACUUAAGUUCAAAAAGAACAAACAUUCAUUGAGGAAUAAAGGCAGUUUUACUGUAAAU